UACGGGGGGGGGGCAAGCGUUGUUCGGAAUUACUGGGCGUAAAGGGUCUGUAGGUGGCCCGCUAAGUCACACGUGAAAUCCCUCAGCCUAACUGGGGGAACUGCGUGUGAGACUGGCAGGCUUGAGUGCAGGAGAGGAACGCGGAAUUCCAGGUGUAGCGGUGAAAUGCGUAGAUAUCUGGAGGAACACCGGUGGCGAAGGCGGCGUCUGGACUGUAUCUGACACUGAUAGACGAA
rnacentral:rRNA from 1 species